AGCUCUUGAAGUUGCCUAUUUCGCCUACUUCAAGAAAAACGGCUGUGGCAGAGGAAGAAAAGCCCAUACAGUAUCUUUAGAAAAACUAUUACUGAUGUCUAUUUCCUUCAUUUCAUAAAUACGGAAAUUAACACCUGGAUGGCUGGCUGAUUUACCCAAGGCUUCAUGACAAAUCUGAAACUGAAUCCUGCACUCUUUUUCCCAAGCUUUAUUGAGGUGCCAUUAAGAACACUUGUGAUUCAUGGGAGGAGGUAAAAAUAUCAACAUUAACAGAAGUUUGGAUGAAGUUGAUUUCAAUCCUCAUGGAUGACUUAGACUCAUGGAUGACUUAGGCUCAAGACUUCAGUGGAGGAAGUAAUUGCAGAUGUGGUGGAAAUAGCAAGAGAACUAGAAUUAGAAGUGGAGCCUGAAGAUGUGACUGAACUGCUACAAUAUUAUGCUAGAACUUGAAUGGAAGAGGACUUGCUUCUUAAGGAUGAUCAAAGAAAGAGGUUUAUUGAGAUGGGAUCUACUCCUGGUGAAAAUGUUGUGAAUAUUGUCUAAAUGAUAACAAAGAAUUUAGCAUAUUAUAUAAGCUUGGUUGAUAAAGGGGCAGUAGGA